GAGAGAGAGGUCAAGCAGCGAGUGUGUGCGGCUGAAUACCUAUGGCCAUGAACUUCCAGGAAAAUGUGACCCUGGCCAUGGCCGUGUUCACCAUCCUCGCCUCCAUCUACUUCUUCAACAAGGCUCAGCAAUGAGGAGGCACAGGGUCCCUGGAUCCCAGAGCCCUGCCUUUCGCCUACCAUGACUCUGCCUCCGAGACCAAAUAAAUGU